CAAAAACUACCAUCUUAGAUGGUGUUUGGUGCAACUGAAAGGCAGAAAGUCGCCCGGAAAGGAUUGAAUGGGGCCAGACUGGGGAGAACGAACACCGGAUCCCUGUUGCUGUUCAGUCAUCAGAGCACAUCAUCAUAUGCUGCCCAGCCCCCCACACCAAAAAAAAAAUACAGAUAGGAGCUGGCUGGCAAUCUGGGACCUUGAAAUGAUGAGGAAAGUAUGAAAUUGUUAGCAAAAUGGUGAGAGCCCAGAUUUGAGCAAGUCUGCUUGGAAAUCCAAUCUUUUGUUUUAUCUCAGUAGGACCACUGAGAUAAAACUGACCAGAGUACAUCAUGAGAAACGCUGGGCUGAAAGAAGCACAAGCUGGAAUCAAGAUUGCCAGGAGAA